UACGUAGGGCGCAAGCGUUAUCCGGAAUUAUUGGGCGUAAAGAGCUCGUAGGCGGUUUGUCGCGUCUGCCGUGAAAGUCCGGGGCUCAACUCCGGAUCCUGCGGUGGGUACGGGCAGACUAGAGUGAUGUAGGGGAGACUGGAAUUCCUGGUGUAACGGUGAAAUGCGUAGAGAUCGUAAGGAAGACCGGUGGCGAAGGCGGUUCUCUGGG
rnacentral:rRNA from 1 species